CCACUUAGUAAAACCUCUUCAUGAACUCACUGAAGUCCAUGUUAAGUGACUGUCAGAACCAUCUUGCUGUCGUUUUGUUUUGUGAAGCCUCCCACCACUUGGGGGAGUAGUGCCGCUGUCAAUGAGGCAGAGGUUAAUGUAAUCAGGGGGGGUUACCUGACACAGGUGUUGCUGCUAAGAAGCAAACAGUGUUGAUCGUGUGGUGAUGACUGUGAAGGGAAGGUUUGAUCACAGAGAGAGUGGUGCUGCUCUUUUUAUUGUUCUGCAGAUUGUCAGAAAUAACUCGUCCUUUAUUUUGCAAAGUGGACUCUUUCUGCACGCGUCUCAACAAUUCAUCCUCAACCGUGGUGGCUUCUUUCGAUUAGCGAGGUCUCCACAUUAAGUGAGAAACUACUUCAUGGAGGACAGCGUUGGGUUCCUGCUGUGGACUGACUGUGUUCCCGGACCAGCUGCUGUGGCCUCUCAGCCUCUCCUGCUGCGGAUCACGCUCGGGGGGAAACGUCACUUCAGAACGCCUGCAUGCAACUCCAACGCCAAGAGUGAUCACACAUGAAAGUGAGGGACAGAUUACUUCGGAACAAGCUCUCUUCAUUUUGCUGGCAGACGAGGCUGAUGCUGCGGUAGAGGUCCUGGGCAGGAACGUAGCACAACACUUGCCUCAGCACCUCCUCUGGAAGGUCAUCGAUGCAGCCCUGGGGCUGCAGCAGGACCUUGCUGCUGCCUACAAGCCCAUAAUAAUCCACCUUCUCCUCAACCUCUGGCACCCCCACAGCAGCUAGCAGGGAGGAAUCGUCAACCUCCUCCUGCUCCUCGUCCUUUUCC